UAAGUUAAUUAAGUCCAAUUUCUUAAUUAGGUUUUCUUCUUUCGGCGCUUCAACCAAGGAUCAAGAACAUAGCUUAAUGGGGCUCUUCAUUAAGCAUGUGAAUAAGCACACAAGAAAUGGAUUAAACCUCAUAAAUUCAUUAAAUUGGGACUAACCCAGUUCAAAUCCACAAAAAUAACUAAAUAUUAUAUCCCUUACUCCAGAAUCAAAAUGAAACUACUCACUACCCAUAAUGUCUACAAGAUAUUCUGAAUUUAAAUGGAAAUAAAGCUCUAAUCUAAGCUAAGAAAUAAAAAACUCAACACUAGAAAUGUAGGAAAAGGUAAGAAGAGAAAGAAAUCCCAAAUCUGGUUGGAAAUGGUGUGGAAAAAUGAAUGUGACUCUUCCGCUGCCCUUGCUCCUGCUCCUUUCCUUCCUUUCUUUCUUCCCUUUUUUUUUAAAAUGGGAAAUGAGGCUAUUUAUAGUAUUUUUCUGACGUGGAGCCCUAAAAUAGUGUGUUUGAGGAGAGAUUUUCUGAGGGAAUCUUCUGCC
rnacentral:misc_RNA from 1 species